rnacentral:rRNA from 1 species
AACCUGGUUGAUCCUGCCAGUAGUCAUAUGCUUGUCUCAAAGAUUAAGCCAUGCAUGUCUAAGUAUAAGCUUUUAUACAGCAAGACUGCGAAUGGCUCAUUAAAACAGUUAUAGUUUAUUUGCUAUUCUUUUAUAUGGAUAACCGUAGUAAUUCUAGAGCUAAUACAUGCAUUAUUCGCGACUCACGAAGCGUAGUAUUUAUUAGAUAAGCACCACGGGCUUCGGCUUGUGUGAGGAAUCAUAAUAACUGAGCGAACUACCAUCGGUAGUGAAGCAUUCAAGUUUCUGCCCUAUCAGCUUUCGAUGGUAGUGUAUUGGACUACCAUGGCGUUGACGGGUAACGGAGAAUUAGGGUUCGAUUCCGGAGAGGGAGCCUGAGAAACGGCUACCACAUCUAAGGAUGGCAGCAGGCGCGCAAAUUACCCAAUUCUAACUCAGAGAGGUAGUGACAAGAAAUAACAACUUCGGGCUUGCCCGAGAUUGGAAUGAGUACAAUGUAAAAUUUUUAACGAGUACCAACUGGAGGGCAAGUCUGGUGCCAGCAGCCGCGGUAAUUCCAGCUCCAGUAGCGUAUACUAAAGUUGUUGCAGUUAAAAAGCUCGUAGUUGAAUUUCUGUGUAGUGUACUUGCGGUUUUCGGACCAAUAUGCACUGCACAUCCAUCUGAACAGCAUUUCUCGUCAUUCAUUUGUCGGUUAUGUGAUCAGAUACUUUACCUUGAGAAAAAUAGAGUGUUCCAAGCAGGCGUCCGCCUGAAUAAUAAAGCAUGGAAUAAUACAAUAGGACUGGGUUCUAUUGGUGCAUAGAAUCUAGUAAUGAUUAAUAGGGACAGUUGGGGGCAUUCGUAUUUAAUUGUCAGAGGUGAAAUUCUUUGAUUUAUUAAAGACGAACCUAUGCGAAAGCAUUUGCCAAGGAUGUUUUCAUUAAUCAAGAACGAAAGUUAAGGGAUCGAAGACGAUCAGAUACCGUCGUAGUCUUAACCAUAAACUAUGCCGACUAGAGAUUGGAGGUGCAAUCUCAAUACUCCUUCAGCAUCUUAGGAGAAAUCAAAGUCUUUGGGUUCUGGGGGUAGUAUGGUCGCAAGACUGAAACUUAAAGGAAUUGACGGAAGGGCACCACAAGGUGUGGAGCCUGCGGCUUAAUUUGACUCAACACGGGGAAACUUACCAGGUCCAGACAUGGGAAGGAUUGACAGAUUGGAGAUCUUUCUUGAUUCCAUGGAUGGUGGUGCAUGGCCGUUCUUAGUUGGUGGAGUGAUUUGUCAGGUUAAUUCCGAUAACGAACGAGACCUCAACCUACUAACUAGUUGCAGCUUCUUACAAGCUGUAGACUUCUUAGAGGGACUGUAGGAUUUAACCUAAGGAAGUUUGAGGCAAUAACAGGUCUGUGAUGCCCUUAGAUGUCCUGGGCCGCACGCGCGCUACACUGAUACAGGCAGUAAGUCUCCAAUUUCGAAAGAUUUUGGGAACCUCCAAACUGUAUCGUGCUGGGGAUUGACACUUGUAAUUAUUUGUCAUCAACGAGGAAUACCUAGUAAGCGCAAGUCAACAGCUUGCACUGAUUACGUCCCUGCCCUUUGUACACACCGCCCGUCGCUCCUACCGAUUGGGUGAUGCGGUGAGCCUUUCGGACGGGCGCUUCGGCGCCUGAAAGUCAUGCAAAUCUCAUCACUUAGAGGAAGGAGACGUCGUAACAAGGUUUCCGUAGGUGAACCUGCAGAAGGAUCA